rnacentral:rRNA from 2 species
CAUGGCUUUUUGAUAUUAAUUUAAAGUCUGACCUGCCCUAUGAAUUAUUUUUAAAUGGCUGCGGUACUUUGACCGUGCAAAGGUAGCAUAAUAAUUAGUUUUUUAAUUGGGAACUGGUAUGAAGGGUUUGACGAGAAAAAAACUGUCUCAAUUUAAUUUAAAUUAGAAUUUUAUUUUUAAGUAAAAAAGCUUAAAUAAUCUUAAAAGACGAGAAGACCCUAUAGAGUUUUAUAUUUUAUAUAAAGAUUAAAGUAUUAUAGUAUUUUAUAAAUUUAUUUUUUAUAUUAAGUAUUUGGUUGGGGCGAUUAAAAAAUUAAAUGAACUUUUUUUAUUUAUUUAACAUUAAUUUAUGAGUAAGUGAUCCAUAUUUUUAUGAUUAAAAGAUUAAAUUACCUUAGGGAUAACAGCGUUAUUUUUUUUGAGAGUUCUUAUCGAAAAAAAAGUUUGCGACC